UAACCCGCGUGAGAAACUAAGCAUAUCAAUAAGCGGAGGAAAAGAAACCAACAGGGAUUGCCCCAGUAACGGCGAGUGAAGCGGCAACAGCUCAAAUUUGAAAUCUGGUCCUCACGGGCCCGAGUUGUAAUUUGUAGAGGAUGCUUUUGGUGAGGCACCGCCCGAGUUCCCUGGAACGGGACGCCACAGAGGGUGAGAGCCCCGUCUGGCUGGAUGCCGAGCCUCUGUAAAGCUCCUUCGACGAGUCGAGUAGUUUGGGAAUGCUGCUCAAAAUGGGAGGUAUAUGUCUUCUAAAGCUAAAUAUUGGCCAGAGACCGAUAGCGCACAAGUAGAGUGAUCGAAAGAUGAAAAGCACUUUGAAAAGAGGGUUAAACAGUACGUGAAAUUGUUGAAAGGGAAGCGCUCGUGACCAGACUUGGGCUUGGCGAAUCAUCCGGCGUUCUCGCCGGUGCACUUCGCCUCGUCCAGGCCAGCAUCAGUUCGCGCCGGGGGACAAAGGCUUCGGGAACGUGGCUCCUCCGGGAGUGUUAUAGCCCGUCGCGCAAUACCCUGGGGCGGACUGAGGUUCGCGCAUCUGCAAGGAUGCUGGCGUAAUGGUCAUCAGCGACCCGUCUUGAAACACGGACCAAGGAGUCGUCUUCGUAUGCGAGUGUUCGGGUGUCAAACCCCUACGCGUAAUGAAAGUGAACGCAGGUGAGAGCUUCGGCGCAUCAUCGACCGAUCCUGAUGUUCUCGGAUGGAUUUGAGUAAGAGCAUACGGGGCCGGACCCGAAAGAAGGUGAACUAUGCCUGUAUAGGGUGAAGCCAGAGGAAACUCUGGUGGAGGCUCGCAGCGGUUCUGACGUGCAAAUCGAUCGUCAAAUAUGGGCAUGGGGGCGAAAGACUAAUCGAACAUGUUAGCGGGUUU
rnacentral:rRNA from 2 species